rnacentral:rRNA from 1 species
UACGUAGUGUGCGAGCGUUGUCCGGAAUUAUUGGGCGUAAAGAGCUCGUAGGCGGCUUGUCGCGUCGGAUGUGAAAGCCCGGGGCUUAACUCCGGGUCUGCAUUCGAUACGGGCAGGCUAGAGUUCGGUAGGGGAGAUCGGAAUUCCUGGUGUAGCGGUGAAAUGCGCAGAUAUCAGGAGGAACACCGGUGGCGAAGGCGGGUCUCUGGGCCGUAACUGACGCUGAGGAGCGAAAGCGUGGGGAGCGAACAGG